rnacentral:tRNA from 1 species
GGGCCAUUAGCUCAGAGGUUAGAGCAACCGGCUCAUAACCGGUCGGUCCUUGGUUCGACCCCAAGAUGGCCCACCA